rnacentral:tRNA from 2 species
GCGGGUGUAGCUCAGUUGGUAGAGCGUCAGCCUUCCAAGCUGAAUGUCGCCGGUUCGACCCCGGUCGCCCGCUCCA